CCUACGGGUGGCAGCAGUGGGGAAUAUUGCACAAUGGGGGAAACCCUGAUGCAGCGACGCCGCGUGAAGGAAGACGUAUUUAGGUAUGUUAACUUCCAUCAGCCGGGAAGAAAAUGACGGUACCUGACUAAGAAGCCACGGCUAACUACGGGCCAGCAGCCGCGGUAAUCAGUAGGGGGCAAGCGUUAUCCGGAUUUAAUGGGUGUAAAGGGAGCGUAGGCGGCGAUGCAAGUCAGAAGGGAAAGCCCGGGGCUCAACUCCGGGACUGCCUUUGAAACUGUGUUGCUAGAUUGCAGGAGAGGUAAGUGGAAUUCGUGGUGUAGCGGUGAAAUACGUAGAUAUUAGGAAGAACACCGGUGGCGAAGGCAGCUUACUGGACUGUAAAUGACGCUGAGGCUCGAAAGCGUGGGGAGCAAACAGGAUUAGAUACCCUAGUAGUC
rnacentral:rRNA from 1 species